GAUGAACGCUGCGGCGUGCCUAAUACAUGCAAGUCGAGCGAACAGACGAGGAGCUUGCUCCUCUGACGUUAGCGGCGGCCGGGUGAGUAACACGUGGAUAACCUACCUAUAAGACUGGGAUAACUUCGGGAAACCGGAGCUAAUACCGGAUAAUAUAUUGAACCGCAUGGUUCAAUAGUGAAAGACGGUUUUGCUGUCACUUAUAGAUGGAUCCGCGCCGCAUUAGCUAGUUGGUAAGGUAACGGCUUACCAAGGCAACGAUGCGUAGCCGACCUGAGAGGGUGAUCGGCCACACUGGAACUGAGACACGGUCCAGACUCCUACGGGAGGCAGCAGUAGGGAAUCUUCCGCAAUGGGCGAAAGCCUGACGGAGCAACGCCGCGUGAGUGAUGAAGGUCUUCGGAUCGUAAAACUCUGUUAUUAGGGAAGAACAAAUGUGUAAGUAACUAUGCACGUCUUGACGGUACCUAAUCAGAAAGCCACGGCUAACUACGUG
rnacentral:rRNA from 1 species